UACGAAGGGGGCGAGCGUUGUUCGGAUUUACUGGGCGUAAAGGGCGCGCAGGCGGCUAUCCAAGUCAGGCGUGAAAGCCCCGGGCUUAACCUGGGAGGUGCGUCUGGGACUGGGUGGCUAGAGUUCGGGAGAGGAGAGUGGAAUUCCUGGUGUAGCGGUGAAAUGCGCAGAUAUCAGGAGGAACACCGGUGGCGAAGGCGGGUCUCUGGGCAGUAACUGACGCUGAGGAACGAAAGCGUGGGUAGCAAACAGG
rnacentral:rRNA from 1 species